ensembl:lncRNA
CCAGCAGGUAGCCUAGUGGUUAGAGCGUUGGGCCAGUAACCAGCAGGUAGCCUAGUGGUUAGAGCAUUGGGCCAGUAACCAGCAGGUAGCCUAGUGGUUAGAGCGUCGGGCCAGUAACCAGCAGGUAGCCUAGUGGUUAGAGCGUCGGGCCAGUAACCAGCAGGUAGCCUAGUGGUUAGAGCGUAGGGCCAGUAACCAGCAGGUAGCCUAGUGGUUAGAGCGUCGGGCCAGUAACCAGCAGGUAGCCUAGUGGUUAGAGCGUCGGGCCAGUAACCGAAAGGUUGCUAGAUUGAAUCCCCGAGCUGACAAGGUAAAAAUCUGUUCUGCCCCUGAACAAGGCAGUUAACUCACUGUUCCACAGGCGCCGAAAGACGUGGAUUUCGAUUAAGGCAGCCCCUCGUACCUCUCUGAUUCAGAGGGGUUGGGUUAAAUGUGGAAGACAUUUCAGUUGAAUGCAUUCGGUUGCACAACUGACUAGGUAUCCCCUUUCCCUUCUCAAACAAUUUAUUACAGGGGUUCAUUGAAUGUCCUUAACGUUUUUAAACGGUUUGUUUUGGUCCUGGGAACAGAUUGUUCUGAGCCAGUUAUGUUGAUGACAAGCUAGGAGUGAAACGGGUUGUCAGUGUUUAAUGGGUUGUAGUUGAUGCCUUCUGAUUGCAUUGUGUUGAACUGUGGUACACGCACACACACACACAACUGAACUCCAAAUUGUGUGUUACGAUGGGUCUGUCAGACUGUCAAUGUUAGUUAGCACCAGCUCCUCACCUGCCCUGUACUGUAAAUAUCCAAUCAGACAUCACUAUCAAUCUGCUCUACUCCUCUUGAUAAUGUUGGGAGGUAUUGCUGUUGUUAAAUGAGAUGCAUUGAAUUGCUAAUCAAAGGAGCUGGUUCUUGUUAUUUUGAGGCUGUAUAAUUUGAGUCGUCACAAUGCAAGUGGAAGUGUAGCGUCAGUGAUUUUAAUGUCAAUUCAUCACACUUCCUUUUCGCUUUGGACUCUUUCUCCGGCUGAAACCUUCAGUGCAGCAUUUGAAUGGGGUCUUAUACCUUCCCUCGGUUUGACCCGUUUGUUUUGUUGUUCAAAUCUACAAGAGGAAGGGGCCUCUAAUUGUUGCAGCUCUAUUUUGAAUUUUGACUCUUCCUAAAGAAGGACCAAUGAUCAACUGGACCAAGUUUGUGUUCCAAAUGGCACCCUAUUCCCUAUAUAGUGCACUACGUUAGUGGGGCCCUAUUCCCUAUAUAGUGCACUACUUUAGAGCAGGUCCCAUAGGGCUUGGGUUAAAAGUAUUGCACAAUGUAGUAAAUAGGGUGCCAUUUGGGACAUAAUCCUAACUGUCUUGUCGGUCUCUUAUUGAGGAAAAAUAACAUCUGUUUUAAAUAAAUCACUGUUUUAAAA